CCCAGGAGAGCCAUCAGCUACUUCAGAGUGUGCAUAAGUGGACCGGUGUCUUUAUGUUAAGACACUUUAAUAUUUAGAUGGUUUGUUACAGCAGGCCUACGCUGCAUCCUGCUUAAUUUGGUCACUGACAUCACAUCGGUCCCUAACCAUUCUGAGGAGAGCGAUAUGAGAACCUGGGAGUAAGGAUGCUCGUGUGCCCUAGGGGACACCCUGACAUAGGCACGGAGCAGCACCUGGGACUGGCUGCAUGAUGUUUCUGAGAAGAUAAUCAGCUCCCGCCAGGGGACAGAUAUGAACAGUGAGCGCUGUGCAUCUGAGAAGCAGCCCUGACUCUCAUGGCCACAAAGAUGUUGGAAGGAGCAACGGAGGAAGUCAAACAAAGAAGCGAUAGGAGCCAGUUACAUCCAUGCAUGGAAAGUUCAUGGGUGAUGUGGAGAUGUAUGGGCAGCUCCUCAGAAAUGACACAUUGGCCUAAUCAGAUAGCUGCCACAUGACCGAGAGGACCUGGCUGAUUCUGGGAGUGAGUAUGAAUAGGUGACCCUAGAGUGGAGGUCAAAGCAGGCCAGAGGCACCUGUUCAGAAGGCCAAGCUGUCCCAGGACCUCGCACCCCACCCCCUCCUCCAGUCAGCUCUUAGCCGGUCACCUUUGCUCCACUCUCAGAAGGGAACAUUCACCUUGGUUGUGAUGCCUCCUCUCACUCCACGGCUCCACCUCGAGUACAUGAGCCUCUCGGAAAGUACAAAGGGUUACUGUGUGGGCGGGCCGAUGCCCACGAGCAGAAACUCAACCAAGACUGUGAGCCUUGCAGUUGGCCCUUUCAUGGCCGUGAGCUCGGUCAUUGUUUAGUUUAGAAGUUGUCACUUGGUUUUGAGCAAAACUCAAUACCUGGAUGUUCAAGUUGCGCUGGAAUAAGCAGCAAAUAAGCCGGUGGCAGAGACAGAGCCUUGGCAGAGCAGUGGAGGGAACAGGCCUUGGGCCAUGCUGCCGAGCAGCCACGAGACCUCAGGAGCGUACGAUUGCACUGGGUACCCAGAUGUUCUCUUCUCACCAACGAGGAGGUUGUAACAGUCUACAUCUGAAGACACCCGGGUUCCCGAGCCUCUUGACCUCUGACAUCACAACUCUCACAAGCAUCCUUGGCCUUUGGUAUCCUUACCCCUUAAUGUGCGUAGCGUUUUCCAGAAGCACAGCUUUGCAAGGACUGACUCCAGAGGCAAGUGUGAGACCGACCCAUCCAUCGCUAGUCACAAAGGCAGAAUCAGACCGUUUAUAGAAAUGUCGAACAAUGGCGUCCCUCAGCUAACCUUCCUGUUUCAGGAAAUGCUGCUUUCCAUUUUUUAAAAGUGCCACUUGUAGAAACAAGCCUUCCUACUUUAAAAUAAAUGUUCUAAGCACU